GCACCGGGGGCUCGGUGGUUGAGCAGGGGAUUGCAGCGCUGAUGCUCCCAUCCCAAGGUCACCGGUUCGACCCCGGUUCGGUGCU